CAAGGAGACAAUGGGGAGCUAGAAUAUCAAGUUAGAUUCAAGAAAUAGAAGCUAGAGGAGAGAGAAAAUCAAGUUAAAGAUUGAAAUCAAUAGCACAAUGUAAGAACAUCUAGAUUUCAAUAUAUUUUUAAGUUUGAUAUUAUUGAAAAAGCAUGGAAAUAAUGUUAUAGUAGAGUUUUCUUAUAUAAGGUCUUAUGUUCUUGAUAUAUUAGUGAAGAAAAAUAAGUGAAAGUGAUGAGA
rnacentral:lncRNA from 1 species